rnacentral:rRNA from 1 species
UACGGAGGGAGCUAGCGUUAUUCGGAUUUAUUGGGUUUAAAGGGAGCGUAGGCGGCCCGCUAAGUCAGGGGUGAAAGACGGUGGCUCAACCAUCGCAGUGCCUUUGAUACUGGCGGGCUUGAAUACACUUGAGGUAGGCGGUAUGUGGCAAGUAGCGGUGAAAUGCAUAGAUAUGCCACAGAACACCGAUUGCGAAGGCAGCUUACUAAAGUGUGAUUGACGCUGAGGCUCGAAAGCGUGGGGAUCAAACAGG